rnacentral:rRNA from 1 species
GGAAAAGAAACCAACAGGGAUUGCCUUAGUAGCGGCGAGUGAAGCGGCAAAAGCUCAAAUUUGAAAUCUGGCACUUUCAGUGUCCGAGUUGUAAUUUGAAGAAGGUAUCUUUGGGUCUGGCUCUUGUCUAUGUUUCUUGGAACAGAACGUCACAGAGGGUGAGAAUCCCGUGCGAUGAGAUGUCCCAGACCUAUGUAAAGUUCCUUCGAAGAGUCGAGUUGUUUGGGAAUGCAGCUCUAAGUGGGUGGUAAAUUCCAUCUAAAGCUAAAUAUUGGCGAGAGACCGAUAGCGAACAAGUACAGUGAUGGAAAGAUGAAAAGAACUUUGAAAAGAGAGUGAAAAAGUACGUGAAAUUGUUGAAAGGGAAGGGCUUGAGAUCAGACUUGGUAUUUUGUAUGUUACUCUCUCGGGGGUGGCCUCUACAGUUUACCGGGCCAGCAUCAGUUUGAGCGGUAGGAUAAGUGCAAAGAAAUGUGGCACUGCUUCGGUAGUGUGUUAUAGUCUUUGUCGAUACUGCCAGCUUAGACUGAGGACUGCGGCUUCGGCCUAGGAUGUUGGCAUAAUGAUCUUAAGUCGCC